rnacentral:tRNA from 1 species
GCACCCGUAGUGAAACGGAUAUCAUUCCUGCCUUCGAAGCAGAUGUUCCAGGUUCGAGUCCUGGCGGGUGCA